AGUGAACGCUGGCGGUAGGCCUAACACAUGCAAGUCGAACGGCAGCACAGUAAGAGCUUGCUCUUACGGGUGGCGAGUGGCGGACGGGUGACGCAUACAUCGGAAUCUACUUUUUCGUGGGGGAUAACGUAGGGAAACUUCCGCUAAUACCGCAUACGACCUACGGGUGAAAGCAGGGGAUCUUCGGACCUUGCGCGAUUGAAUGAGACGAUGUCGGAUUAGCUAGUUGGCGGGGUAAGGGCCCACCAAGGCGACGAUCCGUAGCUGGUCUGAGAGGAUGAUCAGCCACACUGGAACUGAGACACGGUCCAGACUCCUACGGGAGGCAGCAGUAGGGAAUAUUGGACAAUGGGCGCAAGCCUGACCCAGCCAUACCGCGUGGGUGAAGAAGGUCUUCGGGUUGUAAAGCCCUUUUGUUGGGAAAGAAAAGCAGCAGGUUAAUACCCCGCUGUUCUGACGGUACCCAAAGAAUAAGCACCGGCUAACUUCGUG
rnacentral:rRNA from 1 species